rnacentral:rRNA from 1 species
AUUGAACGCUGGCGGCAGGCUUAACACAUGCAAGUCGAGCGGAGUGAUGGUGCUUGCACUAUCACUUAGCGGCGGACGGGUGAGUAAUGCUUAGGAAUCUGCCUAUUAGUGGGGGACAACAUUCCGAAAGGAAUGCUAAUACCGCAUACGUCCUACGGGAGAAAGCAGGGGAUCUUCGGACCUUGCGCUAAUAGAUGAGCCUAAGUCGGAUUAGCUAGUUGGUGGGGUAAAGGCCUACCAAGGCGACGAUCUGUAGCGGGUCUGAGAGGAUGAUCCGCCACACUGGGACUGAGACACGGCCCAGACUCCUACGGGAGGCAGCAGUGGGGAAUAUUGGACAAUGGGGGGAACCCUGAUCCAGCCAUGCCGCGUGUGUGAAGAAGGCCUUAUGGUUGUAAAGCACUUUAAGCGAGGAGGAGGCUCUUUUGGUUAAUACCCAAGAUGAGUGGACGUUACUCGCAGAAUAAGCACCGGCUAACUCUGUGCCAGCCGCCGCGGUAA